UGUUACUAUAACCGAGAUUAAUAACCUAUUAUCGACUGUUAAUGCGCUGAUAACGUUGUAACAUUUAUUAAAAUAUCCGUCGUUUCUUACAGGAUGAAACGAUUAUUCUCUAUUGUUCUUCGAAUAACAAGACUCGAUGAUAAAUCGUGUCGUGAAUUAAUUAACAUAAGUUGUCAACGCUGAUUAUCGACGUGUAACAUCUCCUUCAAGAAUCAUCACAAUAGGAACGACGAAUUCUUGUGGAUCAUUGUCGAACAGCUGUGCAUUAUAAUUAAAAUGAAAGUGUUUGAUGGAGGCUAAUGAUGCUGUUUACCAACCGACCUCGCUUCUUCGUAUUCGAUGUCACCAUUCGAUUGCGGAACCUCCUCUUGAACGGAAAUCAAACGUAUAUAAAUGGUUGUAAAUCGAUAUGUUAAUGUGGCGCAAAGUUCGGCGGGGUCGGUUAGGUCAAUGUGACGUCAGCGGAUACGGAGACCCUCGACGUGGUGAACUGCGACAAUAUUUGCGUGCAAAACGUUUCUUGAAUGUAUGCAUACGGUAUGAUCGUGGCCAAUAUAUCGACUUGUCCCUUUCUUAUUUCGGAAUUCUGCCAGAAACAGGUCGACGCUAACCCUAGCAGUAUUCGAUCAUUUUUGCGAUUUCUAUGCUUCGAUGCAGACAAUUAAUAUUGAAAGAGAAGAAACGGGAAAAAUGGAACAAAAUCAAAAUAAAUUAAUAAGUUGGAUAGUCAGCCGUUUCUUCGGAUGACCCGUGGUCCAUUCUCUGAUCCUUCGCAGUUAAUGCUCCUCCCUGUUGAUUCUACCAUGGAAAAAAAGAAAAACGAUAACCCCAGAUACCAUAGCGAGUACAUACGUGUUUGUUAUCAUUCUCGUAAUACUCGGACGAUCGUGUUGCUAACCGAGAUGCAGCAUAUUCGCUUUACAAGCGAUUUUUCAAAACGACCAAAAUGUAUCGAAUGGAUAAGAACAUCAGGCAAUGCUUUAUCACACGAUAAAUCCAGCUUAUCGAUCAUGCUUGCGUUUCGUUUCGACACGUUGUUUAAAUCAAUUUCGUUGAUGGACAGUGCAACGCGAUACCCUGACGGAGGGCCAUUUUAAUCACCAUUAAUGAGCAUUUCGAUCAUUGAAAUACGCUCUCUUCGAUGUUGCACAGACAAAACAGUUGGAUACACGGGAUGACGCUCGUAAAGGAGACAUUUAUUGGUCGUAAAGGCAUGCUGGCUGUAUCUUGUGCAGUUUGGACCGAUCCUUAAAACGUAGAGAACUCGUCUUUCUGACGAUCGUUUUGUACCAGCACGUUUAGGAACCAUCAUAUGACAAUGGGGGCGUACGUAGUUGACAAACAUGGGAGCGGCGUAUUGGGUCGAUGGCAAAAGGAAUAAAGGGAAAAAAGGGGAAGGAUAUAGCAGUUGGGAUAUAUGUAUGUAUGCGAGGAAGAGAAUAUAUUCUGACUCGACCUUUCUACCUAGCCUUACGUGUAUUUCACUCGCUUUAUACCUAGGCGUGGCCUAUGUGUUCCCUUGCCUCUGUGAAUUAUCGCGCUUCCGGUAGAAUCGUCCGGCAGAAUAAUUCGUUGGACGAAAUUAACAUUGAAUUAAAGUCUUUUUCUUGAAACGAGAAAUCGAUCCUAUUGUUUCUCAAAGAAGCAUAAAUUCGUGUCUUAUAUUACUUUCUUCUUAAUUCAAAUUAUUUUAUUUAGAAUCAAUGUGCGUAGUUUCGAAAAUACUCGACUUCCUCCUGAUAUUAAUUGGAAAAUUCUUUUCCAGACUAAACGAGCAUUUAAUGAGCUUCAAGGAAGUAUAACGAGUAUUACGUAAUGAGAAUUGGAAUUCCAGGGAAAGACGUGCUAAUUCGCCAGAAAGGCAUCGGAUACAGAGAUGUUCUAUCUAUAAGGAUAAAAGAAAAAGGAACGAGAGGAUCAUCGAGCUGUGUGGCUAUGCGUUCGCUUUUGCAUAGUUUCAUGGUUCCUGGAUUUCGCGGCCGACCAACCGAAAAAUUGAAAUAAUGCUAUGGUAACGCCGUUUCUAAAUGCGUCUCUGGUGACGCGUCUCGCAAAGGCCUCUUCUUACUAAAUGUGACUUUAACGAGCAACAUGGAGAACGAGGAGUACGGGGAACGACCUGCGCGCGGAUUCGGGCGCGGUCAAUGCCGUCUAGAUGUUCGCUAUUACUAUCCGGACCUCCUGGUAUUUUCGUCAUGGCCUACUAAUACACUCCGCAAAUUCUUGCCCUACCACGGGGGCCACUGUUCGACAAUGACGUAGUCGAGGAAAUAUGCCGAUCGUGAGCCAUGUCACUGACCGUGAUGUCCAAUUUCUUCGCUUUUUAUUCUUUGAAAACGAGCCAGCCGAAUCCGUUGUACCCUCUUCUUUGUUAGAUGUGCAAUAGAUCCGAAAACAACAAUCUCUUCUUGAUUCGCAUUUGAUCACUGAUCAUAACACCUGAAACUUUUGUACAAUUUGUGUGUUGUACUUUAGAAAUUCGGAAGUGAAAUUCCAGAGAAUUGCUAAAUAAAUUUCUUAGGAAGAAAGAUACACGUACGAUUGACGACUACUUCUAUAGGCUUGGCUGUUUCGUGAAAGCAUUCUUUUUUUUAAAUGUUUAGUCUUCCUUGAGAAGAGCUUCGAAUUUUCUAGCCUAAGGAGUUCGACUUGCUAUAUAUUCAUGAUUAUCAUCGUUGUGAGGAAAAAGAAAAGAC
rnacentral:lncRNA from 1 species